rnacentral:rRNA from 1 species
UGAAUACGAGACGCUAAGGCGUCGAAGUAGUGUAUGUCAUACUUCCAAGAAAAGCUUGCACUGUCAUAGAUAAAAAACGCCUGUACCAUAACCGACACAGGUGGGUAGGUAGAGUAUACUAAGGGGCGCGAGAUAACUCUCUCUAAGGAACUCGGCAAAAUAACUCCGUAACUUCGGGAGAAGGAGUGCCUUAUUCGUAAGGUUGCAAUAACAAGAUCCAAGCAACUGUUUAUCAAAAACACAGGUCUCCGCUAAGUCGUAAGACGAUGUAUGGGGGCUGACGCCUGCCCAGUGCCAGAAGGUUAAAGAAGUUGGUUAGCAAUUGCGAAGCUGAUAACUGAAGCCCUGGUGAACGGCGGCCGUAACUAUAACGGUCCUAAGGUAGCGAAAUUCCUUGUCGGGUAAGUUCCGACCCGCACGAAAGGCGUAAUGAUUUGGAUACUGUCUCGGAGAGGGGCUCGGUGAAAUAGACUUGUCUGUGAAGAUGCGGACUACCUGCACCAGGACAGAAAGACCCUAUGAAGCUUUACUGUAACUUGAAAUUGAGAUUGGACUUUAUUCGCGCAGUAUAGGUGGGAGGCGUUGAUUAUAAUCUUGUGGGAUUAUUGGAGCCAUCAGUGAGAUACCACUCUUGUAAUGUUAGAUUUCUAACUUUGAAUCAUUAUCUGGUCAAAGAACAGUUUCAGGCGGGCAGUUUGACUGGGGCGGUCGCCUCCUAAACGGUAACGGAGGCACAAAGGUUUCCUCUGAACGGUUAGAAAUCGUAUCUAGAGUGUAAAGGCAUAAGGAAGCUUGACUGUGAGACCUACAAGUCGAGCAGGGACGAAGGUCGGUCUUAGUGAUCUGACGGUACUGAGUGGAAAGGCCGUCACUCAACGGAUAAAAGUUACUCUAAGGAUAACAGGCUGAUCUCCCCCAAGAGUUCCCAUCGACGGGGAGGUUUGGCACCUCGAUGUCGGCUCAUCGCAUCCUGGGGCGGUAGUACGUCCCAAGGGUUGGGCUGUUCGCCCAUGAAAGCGGUACGCGAGCUGGGUUCAGAACGUCGUGAGACAGUUCGGUCCAUAUCCGGUGUAGGCGUUAGAAUAUUGAGAGGAGCCUUCUUUAGUACGAGAGGACCGAGAAGGACAUACCUCUGGUGUACCAGUUAUCGUGCCAACGGUAAACGCUGGGUAGCUAUGUAUGGAGUGGAUAACCGCUGAAAGCAUCUAAGUGGGAAGCCCACCUCAAGAUAAGUAUUCUCACC